rnacentral:lncRNA from 1 species
AGACUUCUAGCAGCCACACAGUGAGGUCUUGAGCUGAUGUGUUUCAAGGCUAUACAAGUAAUAGAGGCAGCAGUUAUGGCCUCCUAGGGGAAGGUGAUAACCUAAGAACAUAAGUGGGGAGUGGGGGAGGAUGUUAGGACAGCAGCUAAUGGGGCUGGAGGCCAGGACAGGUCUCCAGUCCUAGAGACGCAAAGAACAAAGGCAGAAGAGGAGAGAGCAAGAAGGCCAGCCACAACAGGACCCAGAGCAGGGUGAAGCUGCAGCCCAGCGCUCACCUGGGAACCCAGACUCCAAAAGGGAAGAUGGCCUGCUGGCACUUUGAUUUUAGUCUGACGAGACCCACACCAGACCUCUGACCUACAAACUGUGAGACAAGGAGUCUGAGAAGCCCAGAAGUUGCACAACAGCUAAGUUAACAGUGCCAUUCCUGGGCUUUUUGCCCACUGUGAAGACUCCUUUAAUGAGCCCUGGAGCAGCUGCUUGUGCAGAAGCUGCAGUAAGACACAGGGCGCUCCAGCCAUUUGGGCCUCCUUGCUGAUCUUUAAACAUACCAAGCCAAGGUCCUGCCUCAGGGCCUUUGUAUAAGCUUGUCCAGUAUCUGAAAUGCUGUUCCCCAGUAGGUGUUCACAUGGCUUUCCCCCUAACUUCAUUCUGCUCAAAAUCACCUCUUCAGAGAGAUUGUCCUUGACCCACCCCCCAUUUGAAAUAGCACACUGUCACUCUCUAGUCCCUUACUCUGCUUUUUUUCCUUUAUGAUAUUCAUCACUAUCUGACACCAUACCGUAUAUUUAUUUCUCUAUUCAAUUUUUGCCUGUUUCCCCAGUAGAGCGUAAAGCUCCUGAAGGUCAGGGACUUUUGUCUGUUAAUCGCUGUAUUUGCAGCACGUAGAACAUUGCCCAAUACAUGAUAAAACACUCAAUAAGC